rnacentral:rRNA from 1 species
GUUGUGGAUGAACGAACGAAGUUUCUAGUUCAAGCAGCAACACUGAUAGCUAUGGUUCAAGCCAUCAUGUUGGUCCAUAAGAGAGUUGUUCAUCGGAAUGACAAACCGCUCAUCCGAUAUGGUCUGAUGUUAAUCCUGGAUCAGGAGAGGAUAGCGAAUCUGAACUACAUCUACAACUGCAACGACAUAUAGGCUCUAUGGAUGUUUCGAAUGUAAAGAGCACAUUUUGCCAGGCUUGUGCAGACGUUCAGGAGCAGGGGGCUGCUAGAAGAUAGCAUCCACACCACUGCGGAAGAGCGAGUAGCCAUCUUCCUCCAUGUUGUUGGUCAUAACGAGAGAUUCAUGAUUGUACAAAACACCUUCAGGAGAUCAAUGGAGACCAUCUCUAGGUACUUCAAGCAAGUGUUGUAUGCUGUUGGAGAGCUCAGAUGAGAGAUGAUCAGGUCACCAACCAUCCAGACUCCUACCAAGAUUCGCACUAGCACAAGAUGGUAUCCAUGCUUCAAGGUGAGUAUUGAUAGUAUGUAG